UCACAACACCAAUUUACACAGAAGUGGAGUUCUGGUCAGGAGCCUUUCUUGUCUGCCAAACAGGCCAAGAACGUGAAGAAACUUGACUUUCUGGCACCAUUCCACGUGAGAUGCCGGGGAGCUGAGAGCUGGGAAAAGCGGCCCUCCCACCCCUCAGUUCCUUUCAUCUGUGUGGAUCACAACACAGAGUGUCAGUAGAAGAAGGGCUCAGUGGUGAGAGAGCUAGUUUGUACUCAGAGGCAG